rnacentral:rRNA from 1 species
GACGAACGCUGGCGGCGUGCCUAAUACAUGCACGUAGGACGCAGUUGCGAACGGGUGAGUAACGCGUAGGUAACUACCUAUUAGAGGGGGAUAACUAUUGGAAACGCUAGCUACUACCGCAUACUAGUAGAUGGACCUGCGUUGUAUUAGCGAGUAGGUGGGGUAAUGGCCUACCUAGGCAACGAUACAUAGCCGACCGUAGAGGGGGAUCGGCCACACGGGGACUGAUACACGGCCCAGACUGCGACGGGGGGCAGCAGUAGGGAAUCGUCGGCAAGGGGGGGAACCAUGACCGAGCAACGCGGCGUGAGGGAAGAAGGUUUGCGGAUCGUAAAGCUCUGUUGUGAAGGAAGCGGUACUUAACCAGAAAGGGACGGCUAACGACGUGCCAGCAGCCGCGGUAAUAC